UACGUAGGGUGCAAGCGUUAAUCGGAAUUACUGGGCGUAAAGGGUGCGUAGGCGGUUCGUUAAGUCUGUUGUGAAAUCCCCGGGCUCAACCUGGGAAUGGCGAUGGAUACUGGCGAGCUAGAGUGUGGCAGAGGAUGGUGGAAUUCCCGGUGUAGCGGUGAAAUGCGUAGAGAUCGGGAGGAACAUCAGUGGCGAAGGCGGCCAUCUGGGACAACACUGACGCUGAAGCACGAAAGCGUGGGGAGCAAACAGG
rnacentral:rRNA from 1 species